rnacentral:rRNA from 1 species
CCGCGAAAACCUUACAAUGCGGGAAACCGUGAUAAGGGAAUCUCGAGUGCCAGCAUAUAAUGUUGGCUGUCCAGAUGCCUAAAAAGCACCUGUUAGCAAGGGCCGGGCAAGACCGGUGCCAGCCGCCGCGGUAACACCGGCGGCCCGAGUGGUAACCGCUUUUAUUGGGUCUAAAGGGUCUGUAGCCGGCCAAGUAAGUCCCUUGGGAAAUCUGGCAGCUUAACUGUCAGGCUGCUAGGGGAUACUGCUAGGCUUGGGACCGGGAGAGGUGAGAGGUUCCUUGGGGGUAGGGGUGAAAUCUUGUGAUCCUCGGGGGACCACCAGUGGCGAAGGCGUCUCACCAGAACGGGUCCGACGGUAAGGGACGAAAGCUAGGGGCACGAACCG